rnacentral:rRNA from 1 species
CGGUAAUUCCAGCUCCAAUAGCGUAUAUUAAAGUUGUUGUGGUUAAAAAGCUCGUAGUCGAACCUUGGGCCUGGCUGGCCGGUCCCCCUCACCGGGUGCACUGAUCCAGCCGGGCCUUUCCCUCUGUGGAACCCCAUGGCCUUCACUGGCUGUGCGGGGGAAACAGGACUUUUACUGUGAAAAAAUUAGAGUGCUCCAGGCAGGCCUAUGCUCGAAUACAUUAGCAUGGAAUAAUAGAAUAGGACGUGUGGUUCUAUUUUGUUGGUUUCUAGGACCGCCGUAAUGAUUAAUAGGGACAGUCGGGGGCAUCAGUAUUCAGUUGUCAGAGGUGAAAUUCUUGGAUCUACUGAAGACUAACUACUGCGAAAGCAUUUGCCAAGGAUGUUUUCAUUGAUAAGGAACGAAAGUUAGGGGAUCGAAGACGAUCAGAUACCGUCGUAGUCUUAACUAUAAACUAUGCCGACUAGGGAUCGGACGAUGUUAUUAUUUGACGCGUUCGGCACCUUUCGAGAAAUCAAAGUGCUUGGGCUCCAGGGGGAGUAUGGUCGCAAGGCUGAAACUUAAAGAAAUUGACGGAAGGGCACCACCAGGGGUGGAACCUGCGGCUUAAUUUGACUCAACACGGGGAAACUCACCAGGUCCAGACACAGUGAGGAUUGACAGAUUGAGAGCUCUUUCUUGAUUCUGUGGGUGGUGGUGCACGGCCGUUCUUAGUUGGUGGAGUGAUUUGUCUGCUUAAUUGCGAUAACGAACGAGACCUUAACCUGCUAAAUAGCCCGUACUGCUCUGGCAGUUCGCUGGCUUCUUAGAGGGACUAUCGGCUCAAG